AUUGAACGCUGGCGGAAUGCUUUACACAUGCAAGUCGAACGGCAGCACGGGAACUUGCUCCUGGUGGCGAGUGGCGGACGGGUGAGUAAUAUAUCGGAACGUAUCCAAUAAUGGGGGAUAACUAUCCGAAAGGAUAGCUAAUACCGCAUACGCCCUGAGGGGGAAAGCUAGGGAUCUUCGGACCUGGUGUUAAUGGAGCGGCCGAUAGCUGAUUAGCUAGUUGGUGAGGUAAAAGCUCACCAAGGCGACGAUCAGUAGCUGGUCUGAGAGGACGACCAGCCACACUGGAACUGAGACACGGUCCAGACUCCUACGGGAGGCAGCAGUGGGGAAUUUUGGACAAUGGGGGCAACCCUGAUCCAGCCAUUCCGCGUGAGUGAAGAAGGCCUUCGGGUUGUAAAGCUCUUUCGCAAGGGAAGAAAACUUAGUCUCUAACAUAGACUGAGGUUGACGGUACCUUGAUAAGAAGCACCGGCUAACUACGUGCCAGCCGCCGCCGUAAAAC
rnacentral:rRNA from 1 species